UACGAGUGGUGCAAGCGUUAUUCGGAAUCAUUGGGCGUACAGGGUGCGUAGGCGGUAUGUUAAGUCUGCUGUUAAAGACUCCGGCCUAACCGGAGAUAGGCGGCGGAAACUGGCGUACUAGAGGGUGGAAGAGAGAAGUGGAAUUCUCGGUGUAGCGGUAAAAUGCGUAGAUAUCGAGAGGAACACCGAUGGCGAAGGCAGCUUCUUGGUCCAUUCCUGACGCUGAUGCACGAAAGCGUGGGGAGCAAAC
rnacentral:rRNA from 1 species